AAAUUGAAGAGUUUGAUCAUGGCUCAGAUUGAACGCUGGCGGCAGGCCUAACACAUGCAAGUCGAACGGUAACAGGAAUCAGCUUGCUGAUUCGCUGACGAGUGGCGGACGGGUGAGUAAUGUCUGGGAAACUGCCUGAUGGAGGGGGAUAACUACUGGAAACGGUAGCUAAUACCGCAUAAUGUCGCAAGACCAAAGAGGGGGACCUUCGGGCCUCUUGCCAUCGGAUGUGCCCAGAUGGGAUUAGCUAGUAGGUGGGGUAACGGCUCACCUAGGCGACGAUCCCUAGCUGGUCUGAGAGGAUGACCAGCCACACUGGAACUGAGACACGGUCCAGACUCCUACGGGAGGCAGCAGUGGGGAAUAUUGCACAAUGGGCGCAAGCCUGAUGCAGCCAUGCCGCGUGUAUGAA
rnacentral:rRNA from 1 species